rnacentral:rRNA from 1 species
UACGAAGGGGGCGAGCGUUGUUCGGAUUUACUGGGCGUAAAGGGCGCGCAGGCGGCUCAUUUUGUCAGGCGUGAAAGCCCCGGGCUUAACCUGGGAACUGCGUUUGAUACGGAUGGGCUAGAGUUCGGGAGAGGAGAGUGGAAUUCCCAGUGUAGAGGUGAAAUUCGUAGAUAUUGGGAAGAACACCGGUGGCGAAGGCGUCUCUCUGGACCGAGACUGACGCUGAGGCGCGAAAGCGUGGGGAGCAAACAGG